AGUGAACGCUGGCGGUAGGCCUAAAACAUGCAAGUCGAACGGCAGCACAGUAAGAGCUUGCUCUUACGGGUGGCGAGUGGCGGACGGGGGGGGAAUACAUCGGAAUCUACUUUUUCGUGGGGGAUAACGUAGGGAAACUUACGCUAAUACCGCAUACGACCUACGGGUGAAAGCAGGGGAUCUUCGGACCUUGCGCGAAUGAAUGAGCCGAUGUCGGAUUAGCUAGUUGGCGGGGUAAAGGCCCACCAAGGCGACGAUCCGUAGCUGGUCUGAGAGGAUGAUCAGCCACACUGGAACUGAGACACGGUCCAGACUCCUACGGGAGGCAGCAGUGGGGAAUAUUGGACAAUGGGCGCAAGCCUGAUCCAGCCAUACCGCGUGGGUGAAGAAGGCCUUCGGGUUGUAAAGCCCUUUUGUUGGGAAAGAAAGGCAGCAGGUUAAUACCCCGCUGUUCUGACGGUACCCAAAGAAUAAGCACCGGCUAACUUCGUG
rnacentral:rRNA from 1 species